UUAGUCGGUCUCGGAGCAAACGAAGUGAAGCAUGUUAUUUAAUACGAAAAUACGCGUAAAACCUUACCAGACCUUGCAUAUCUAGCUCUGUUUAAUUUUUUUAAAUUAGAGUGAGUAUAUUUUUAAUUUUUAUUGAAAAUAAUACGCAGAUACAGGUGUUGCAUGGCUGUCGUC
rnacentral:rRNA from 1 species